rnacentral:rRNA from 1 species
AUUGAACGCUGGCGGAAUGCUUUACACAUGCAAGUCGAACGGCAGCACGGACUUCGGUCUGGUGGCGAGUGGCGAACGGGUGAGUAAUGUAUCGGAACGUGCCCAGUCGUGGGGGAUAACGUAGUGAAAAUUACGCUAAUACCGCAUACGAUCUAUGGAUGAAAGCGGGGGAUCGCAAGACCUCGCGCGAUUGGAGCGGCCGAUAUCAGAUUAGGUAGUUGGUGGGGUAAAGGCCCACCAAGCCAACGAUCUGUAGCUGGUCUGAGAGGACGACCGGCCACACUGGAACUGAGACACGGUCCAGACUCCUAGGGGAGGCAGCAGUGGGGAAUUUUGGACAAUGGGCGAAAGCCUGAUCCAGCCAUUCCGCGUGCAGGAUGAAGGCCCUCGGGUUGUAAACUGCUUUUGUACAGAACGAAAAGGUUUCUACUAAUACUAGGAGCUCAUGACGGUACUGUAAGAAUAAGCACCGGCUAACUACGUGCCAGCCGCCGCGGUAA